AUUAAAAAUUAUCAAAAUCGGUACACCCAGUAAAAAGUUAUUGCGGAUUUUCGAGAGUUUCCCUCGAUUUCUCUGGGAUCCCAUCAUCAGAUCCUAGUUUCCUUAUCACGGUAUCAAACUAGGGAUAUCCCCUUUCCAAAAAAAAAAGAAUUAUCAAAAUCGGUACAUCCAGUAGAAAGUUAUGCAGUAUAAUACAACGUAGGUCGACGAAAAAAGCGUCAAGUAAAAACGCAUUAUUAGAUAUAACUCGAAAAGUAGUUGAUAGAUCUCAAAUAAAUUUAAAUGGGACCAAUUGGCACACACCACCUUUCGAUUAAAACAAAAUUUGUCGAAAUCGGUCUACCCGGUCAAAAGUUCUGAUGUAACAUACCAAAAA
rnacentral:misc_RNA from 1 species